rnacentral:rRNA from 1 species
GUGAGGAAUAUUGGUCAAUGGACGCAAGUCUGAACCAGCCAAGUAGCGUGAAGGACGACCGCCCUAUGGGUUGUAAACUUCUUUUAUAAGGGAAUAAAUUAAGGCACGCGUGCCUUCUUGCAUGUACCUUAUGAAGAAGGAUCGGCUAACUCCUUGCCAGCAGCCGCGGUAAUACGGAGGAUCCGAGCGUUAUCCGGAUUUAUUGGGUUUAAAGGGAGCGUAGGCGGGAUGUUAAGUCAGUUGUGAAAGUUUGCGGCUCAACCGUAAAAUCGCAGUUGAUACUGGCUUCCUUGAGUGCGGCAGAGGCAGGCGGAAUUCGUGGUGUAGCGGUGAAAUGCUUAGAUAUCACGAAGAACCCCGAUUGCGAAGGCAGCCUGCUGGACCGUAACUGACGCUGAUGCUCGAAAGUGCGGGUAUCAAACAGG